GCUGCUUCACCAGGGAAACUCCUUGCUCCCCAUUAAGAAUGGAGGAAACAGGAAUCAGAAGGAUUAAGGUCAGACCUUUAUACUGAUAAGCGCAGAGAUACACCCUCUUUCCUCAGUCUGACGAAGCCAAAUUGUUGGGCUAACUGUAACAGAGCUACCAAUCUCUGCACCCCAAAUAUCAGUGACAAGAAAACCAUCCUUCCCUUUAGCCCACUUGUCA
rnacentral:misc_RNA from 1 species